GACCUGAGAGGGUGAUCGGCCACACUGGGACUGAGACACGGCCCAGACUCCUACGGGAGGCAGCAGUAGGGAAUCUUCCGCAAUGGACGAAAGUCUGACGGAGCAACGCCGCGUGAGUGAUGAAGGUUUUCGGGUCGUAAAGCUCUGUUGUUAGGGAAGAACAAGUACCGUUCAAAUAGGGCGGCACCUUGACGGUACCUAACCAGAAAGCCACGGCUAACUACGUGCCAGCAGCCGCGGUAAUACGUAGGUGGCAAGCGUUGUCCGGAAUUAUUGGGCGUAAAGCGCGCGCAGGCGGUUUCUUAAGUCUGAUGUGAAAGCCCCCGGCUCAACCGGGGAGGGUCAUUGGAAACU
rnacentral:rRNA from 1 species